GACGAACGCUGGCGGCGUGCUUAACACAUGCAAGUCGAACGGAAAGGCCCUGCUUUUGUGGGGUGCUCGAGUGGCGAACGGGUGAGUAACACGUGAGUAACCUGCCCUUGACUUUGGGAUAACUUCAGGAAACUGGGGCUAAUACCGGAUAGGAGCUCCUGCUGCAUGGUGGGGGUUGGAAAGUUUCGGCGGUUGGGGAUGGACUCGCGGCUUAUCAGCUUGUUGGUGGGGUAGUGGCUUACCAAGGCUUUGACGGGUAGCCCGCCUGAGAGGGUGACCGGCCACAUUGGGACUGAGGUACGGCCCAGACGCCUACGGGAGGCAGCAGUGGGGAAUAUUGCACAAUGGGCGGAAGCCUGAUGCAGCAACGCCGCGUGCGGGAUGACGGCCUUCGGGUUGUAAACCGCUUUCGCCUGUGACGAAGCGUGAGUGACGGUAAUGGGUAAAGAAGCACCGGCUAACUACGUG
rnacentral:rRNA from 1 species